rnacentral:rRNA from 1 species
AGAGUUUGAUCAUGGCUCAGGACGAACGCUGGCGGCGUGCUAAUACAUGCAAGUCGAGCGAGCGGAACCAACAGAUUUACUUCGGUAAUGACGUUGGGAAAGCGAGCGGCGGAUGGGUGAGUAACACGUGGGGAACCUGCCCCUAAGUCUGGGAUACCAUUUGGAAACAGGUGCUAAUACCGGAUAAUAAAGCAGAUCGCAUGAUCAGCUUUUGAAAGGCGGCGUAAGCUGUCGCUAAGGGAUGGCCCCGCGGUGCAUUAGCUAGUUGGUAAGGUAACGGCUUACCAAGGCGACGAUGCAUAGCCGAGUUGAGAGACUGAUCGGCCACAUUGGGACUGAGACACGGCCCAAACUCCUACGGGAGGCAGCAGUAGGGAAUCUUCCACAAUGGACGCAAGUCUGAUGGAGCAACGCCGCGUGAGUGAAGAAGGUUUUCGGAUCGUAAAGCUCUGUUGUUGGUGAAGAAGGAUAGAGGUGGUAACUGGCCUUUAUUUGACGGUAAUCGACCAGAAAGUCACGGCUAACUACGUGCCAGCAGCCGCGGUAAUACGUAGGUGGCAAGCGUUGUCCGGAUUUAUUGGGCGUAAAGCGAGCGCAGGCGGAAAAAUAAGUCUAAUGUGAAAGCCCUCGGCUUAACCGAGGAACUGCAUCGGAAACUGUUUUUCUUGAGUGCAGAAGAGGAGAGUGGAACUCCAUGUGUAGCGGUGGAAUGCGUAGAUAUAUGGAAGAACACCAGUGGCGAAGGCGGCUCUCUGGUCUGCAACUGACGCUGAGGCUCGAAAGCAUGGGUAGCGAACAGGAUUAGAUACCCUGGUAGUCCAUGCCGUAAACGAUGAGUGCUAAGUGUUGGGAGGUUUCCGCCUCUCAGUGCUGCAGCUAACGCAUUAAGCACUCCGCCUGGGGAGUACGACCGCAAGGUUGAAACUCAAAGGAAUUGACGG